rnacentral:rRNA from 1 species
AGAGUUUGAUCCUGGCUCAGAACGAACGCUGGCGGCAGGCUUAACACAUGCAAGUCGAACGCCCCGCAAGGGGAGUGGCAGACGGGUGAGUAACGCGUGGGAAUCUACCUUGAACUACGGGAUAGCUCCGGGAAACUGGAAUUAAUACCGUAUGUGCCCUUAGGGGGAAAGAUUUAUCGGUUCAAGAUGAGCCCGCGUUGGAUUAGCUAGUUGGUGGGGUAAAGGCCUACCAAGGCGACGAUCCAUAGCUGGUCUGAGAGGAUGACCAGCCACAUUGGGACUGAGACACGGCCCAAACUCCUACGGGAGGCAGCAGUGGGGAAUAUUGGACAAUGGGCGCAAGCCUGAUCCAGCCAUGCCGCGUGAGUGAUGAAGGUCUUAGGAUUGUAAAGCUCUUCACCGGGGACGAUAAUGACGGUACCCGGAGAAGAAGCCCCGGCUAACUUCGUG